rnacentral:rRNA from 1 species
ACACUCCUGCGGGAGGCAGCAGUGGGGAAUUUUGGACAAUGGGCGAAAGCCUGAUCCAGCCAUGCCGCGUGCAGGAUGAAGGCCUUCGGGUUGUAAACUGCUUUUGUACGGAACGAAACGGCCUUUUCUAAUAAAGAGGGCUAAUGACGGUACCGUAAGAAUAAGCACCGGCUAACUACGUGCCAGCAGCCGCGGUAAUACGUAGGGUGCAAGCGUUAAUCGGAAUUACUGGGCGUAAAGCGUGCGCAGGCGGUUAUGUAAGACAGUUGUGAAAUCCCCGGGCUCAACCUGGGAACUGCAUCUGUGACUGCAUAGCUAGAGUACGGUAGAGGGGGAUGGAAUUCCGCGUGUAGCAGUGAAAUGCGUAGAUAUGCGGAGGAACACCGAUGGCGAAGGCAAUCCCCUGGACCUGUACUGACGCUCAUGCACGAAAGCGUGGGGAGCAAACAGGAUUAGAUACCCGUGUAGUCCCAUGA